rnacentral:rRNA from 1 species
UGUAGUCUCAACGAUGAUGCAUACAUGUCAACUAUGGGUGUUGGGUCCAACAAUUCGCAUUGGUCUCAAAGCAAUGACAUCCAUUUCGAAGAUCAUGAGUUUGAGGUGGACGAGGAGGGCGAGGGCAUUGUCGACGCGCCGAAAGGAAGAGCGGGCAAUUACACCACCAACGAUGACAAGUUACUAUGCUAUACUUAUUUGCAAGUGUCGAGGGAUCCAUCCAUUGGAGGUGAUCAAAGUAGAGACGCGUAUUGGGGGCAAAUGAAAGAACACUUUGAUGCUCACAACGUGAGUGGAGUUGACCGCUCCGAGAGAUCACUUCGGUCCCGAUGGUCGACAAUCAACUCAGAUUGUCAAAAGUGGGCGGCCGCACAAAAGGCGGUUGACAAGAUUAACCCAAGUGGCACAAAUGAGGAUGAUCGAGUAAGUGGCAUCUCAUAUAUGUUCAUCAUACUUGUUUUUGGUGACCGAAGUGCUAACUUGUUUUGUUUUUCUUGUAGUACAACAUUGCACACAACUUGUUCAAAGAAGAGACAAAGACAACCAAGAAGGGGAAGAUCAAGAAAGGCAGGAUCUUUACCUUGCCUCAUUGCUAUGAAGUGUUAA